rnacentral:rRNA from 1 species
GAUGAACGCUGGCGGCGUGCCUAAAACAUGCAAGUCGAACGAGUAACUUCGGUUACUAGUGGCAAACGGGUGAGUAACACGUGGGAACUCGCCCUCUGGUGGGGAAUAACGCUGCGAAAGCAGUGCUAAUACCGCAUAUGCUCUAACGAGUAAAGCAGCAAUGCGCCGGGGGAGAGGCCCGCGACCGAUUAGCCAGUUGGUGGGGUAACGGCCUACCAAAGCGAUGAUCGGUAGCUGGUCUGAGAGGAUGGUCAGCCACACUGGGACUGCGAACGGC